UACGAAGGGGACUAGCGUUGUUCGGAAUUACUGGGCGUAAAGCGCACGUAGGCGGAUUUGUUAGUCAGGGUGAAAUCCCGGGGCUCAACCUCGGAACUGCCUUUGAUACUGCAAGUCUCGAGUCCGAUAGAGGUGGGUGGAAUUCCUAGUGUAGAGGUGAAAUUCGUAGAUAUUAGGAAGAACACCGGUGGCGAAGGCGGCCCACUGGAUCGGUACUGACGCUGAGGUGCGAAAGCGUGGGGAGCGAACAGG
rnacentral:rRNA from 1 species